CUAAACAUGCAAGUCGAACGGAGGCCCGAAGCUUGCUUCGGAUACCUUAGUGGCGAACGGGUGAGUAACACGUGGGAAUCUACCUAAGAAUGGGGAAUAACUAUUGGAAACGAUAGCUAAUACCGCAUAAUCCCUGAGGGGUAAAGGCUUCGGCCGUUUUUAGAUGAGCCCGCGCUAGAUUAGGUUGUUGGUAGGGUAAAAGCCUACCAAGCCUACUAUCUAUAGCUGGUCUGAGAGGAUGAUCAGCCACACUGGGACUGAGACACGGCCCAGACUCCUACGGGAGGCAGCAGUGGGGAAUAUUGGACAAUGGGGGAAACCCUGAUCCAGCAAUGCCGCGUGAGUGAAGAAGGCCCUAGGGUUGUAAAGCUCUUUCAGAAGUGAAGAUGAUGACUGUAACUUCAGAAGAAGAUCCGGCUAACUCCGUGCCAGCAGCCGCGGUAAUACGGAGGGAUCUAGCGUUGUUCGGAAUUACUGGGCGUAAAGGGCGCGUAGGCGGUAUGAUUAGUCAGAGGUGAAAUCCCUAAGCUUAACUUAGGAACUGCCUUUGACACUGUCAUACUAGAGAACGAGAGAGGUGAGUGGAAUUCCAAGUGUAGAGGUGAAAUUCGUAGAUAUUUGGAAGAACACCAGUGGCGAAAGCGGCUCACUGGCUCGUUUCUGACGCUAAGGCGCGAAAGCGUGGGUAGCAAACAGGAUUAGAUACCCUGGUAGUCCACGCUGUAAACGAUGAAUGCUAGCCGUUUGAGGUUUUACNUUCAGUGGUGCAGUUAACGCGUUAAGCAUUCCGCCUGGGGAGUACGAUCGCAAGAUUAAAACUCAAAG
rnacentral:rRNA from 1 species